AUUUUAGUACCUAAAUGUGCAUUUUGUUGCACCAGCCAGUUCCAGAGAAAGGAGUAUAUAUAUGUUGUGCAAUCAUUGAAAGGAGUUUCCUCAGGGCUGUGGUUUAAACAUAUUUGACAACACAAAACUAUGAUCUCAAGCACUACACAUAAUAUCAAACAGUUUUAAAAAUCUCUUGACCUAGAUUGAAGAGGACAGUUAACCAUGCCGAAGUACAAAUGCCGUUUGAUUGUCAGCUCUGUCAUCUAUUUGACAGCAGUGGCACUACUCUUUGUAGGGCUCCUUACUGAGGGAUGGUUUGAAUAUUACGGAUAUUCUUUUAGUUUUAAUGGAAGAAGUUCUGCCGACGAUACUGUGGAUAGAAAUGGCUACAUUACAGCAAUAGUUAUACUACUUAUUAUAGCGAUUAGCUUUGCCUCUUUGUGCUGCCUUCUAAGCUGUAUCAUGUUCUGUGCUGCCUUCU